GAUGAACGCUGGCGGCGUGCCUAAUACAUGCAAGUCGAGCGAAUGGAUUAAGAGCUUGCUCUUAUGAAGUUAGCGGCGGACGGGAGAGUAACACGUGGGUAACCUGCCCAUAAGACAGGGAUAACUCCGGGAAACCGGGGCUAAUACCGGAUAACAUUUUGAACCGCAUGGUUCGAAAUUGAAAGGCGGCUUCGGCUGGCACUUAUGGAUGGACCCGCGUCGCAUUAGCUAGUUGGUGAGGUAACGGCUCACCAAGGCAACGAUGCGUAGCCGACCUGAGAGGGUGAUCGGCCACACUGGGACUGAGACACGGCCCAGACUCCUACGGGAGGCAGCAGUAGGGAAUCUUCCGCAAUGGACGAAAGUCUGACGGAGCAACGCCGCGUGAGUGAUGAAGGCUUUCGGGUCGUAAAACUCUGUUGUUAGGGAAGAACAAGUGCUAGUUGAAUAAGCUGGCACCUUGACGGUACUUAACCAGAAAGCCACGGCUAACUACGUGCCAGCCGCCGCGGUAA
rnacentral:rRNA from 1 species